AGGGUCUCUGUCCUGAAGCUGCUCUUUUCCCAGCGUCAGAGACAAACUGGUGCCAUGAACCUUCCCAAGAGAAGCUCCUCUGAGGAACUGAUCUCUGGGCUGAUAUGUCAGAACUCUUUCCCAGGAUGGCCCCAAGGGGCAGAUGUUCCGGAAAAAAACUGUCUGCCCCGCCCCUGCAUGGAAGGGGACCAGAAGCGGCCUUGAUGAGCAAUGGCUGGAGAGCCUUCAUUCUGUUCCUGAGGAAGAAAUAGUAUCCUGAAGGAUUCCAGAAAAUUUGGAC